UUCGCAAUGCCCGAAAGGGUGACGAAGCGACGCCGCGUGGGUGAGGAAGGCCCUCGGGUUGUAAAGCCCUGUCAGGAGUUAAGAAAUGUAGGUACGCUAAUAUCGUAUCUAUUUGACAAAGGCUCCAAAGGAAGCCACGGCUAACUCUGUGCCAGCAGCCGCGGUAAUACAGAGGUGGCAAGCGUUGUUCGGAAUUAUUGGGCGUAAAGAGCACGUAGGUGGAUUUGUAAGUCAGAUGUGAAAGCCUUCUGUUCAACGGGAGAAUUGCAUCUGAAACUACAAACCUUGAGUAUAGGAGGGGAGAAUGGAACUUCUGGUGGAGCGGUGAAAUGCGUAGAUAUCAGAAGGAACGCCGGCGGCGAAAGCGAUUCUCUGGCCUAUUACUGACACUCAGUGUGCGAAAGCUAGGGGAGCAAACGGGAUUAGAUACCCCGGUAGUCCUAGCCGUAAACGAUGGGCACUAAGUAGA
rnacentral:rRNA from 1 species